rnacentral:rRNA from 1 species
CAAUAGCGUAUAUUAAAGUUGUUGCAGUUAAAAAGCUCGUAGUCGGAUUUUGGCAUCACGCCGAACUGUCUGCCGAUUGGUAAGCACGGUUUGGCGGUUGCUUCCUUCCGGAGGCUCGUUUCCUUCUUAACUGAAGGGUUCGUAGGUUCCGGUUCUUUUACUUUGAGAAAAUUAGAGUGUUCAAAGCAGGCCUAUGCUCUGAAUAGGUUAGCAUGGAAUAAUGGGAUAGGACUUUGGUUCUAUUUUGUUGGUUUCUAGGACCGAAGUAAUGAUUAAUAGGGACAGUUGGGGGCAUUCAUAUUCCAUUGUCAGAGGUGAAAUUCUUGGAUUAACGGAAGAUGAACUUCUGCGAAAGCAUCUGCCAAGGAUGUUUUCAUUGA